ensembl:snoRNA SNORA72 Small nucleolar RNA SNORA72
CUGUGGAUAUUCUCACUGUCCUGAUUUUUUAAUAAUUAGGGCAGGCUAAACAUUUGCUACAUGAAGACCAUACACAUGUCCAUUGACCUAGCUCUCAUCUAGAUCUAGUUUUAUAAAUGCUGAUGAUAAAC